rnacentral:rRNA from 1 species
UACAGAGGGUGCGAGCGUUAAUCGGAAUUACUGGGCGUAAAGCGUGCGUAGACGGCUAUCUAAGUCGGGUGUGAAAGCCCCGGGCUCAACCUGGGAAUUGCAUUCGAGACUGAAUAGCUAGGGUACGGUAGAGGGAAGUGGAAUUUCCGGUGUAGCGGUGAAAUGCGUAGAUAUCGGAAGGAACAUCAGUGGCGAAAGCGACUUCCUGGACCAGUACCGACGUCAGGCACGAAAGCGUGGGGAGCAA